rnacentral:rRNA from 1 species
CCUACGGGAGGCAGCAGUGGGGAAUUUUGGACAAUGGGCGCAAGCCUGAUCCAGCAAUGCCGCGUGAGUGAAGAAGGCCUUCGGGUUGUAAAGCUCUUUUGUCAGGGAAGAAACGGUUGAGGCUAAUAUCCUCGGCUAAUGACGGUACCUGAAGAAUAAGCACCGGCUAACUACGUGCCAGCAGCCGCGGUAAUACGUAGGGUGCAAGCGUUAAUCGGAAUUACUGGGCGUAAAGCGUGCGCAGGCGGUUUUGUAAGUCUGUCGUGAAAGCCCCGGGCUUAACCUGGGAAUUGCGAUGGAGACUGCAAGGCUUGAAUCUGGCAGAGGGGGGGUAGAAUUCCACGUGUAGCAGUGAAAUGCGUAGAGAUGUGGAGGAACACCGAUGGCGAAGGCAGCCCCCUGGGUCAAGAUUGACGCUCAUGCACGAAAGCGUGGGGAGCAAACAGGAUUAGAUACCCUGGUAGUCCACGCCCUAAACGAUGUCUACUAGUUGUCGGGUCUUAAUUGACUUGGUAACGCAGCUAACGCGUGAAAGUAGACCGCCUGGGGGAGUACGGUCGCAAAGAUUAAAAACUCAAAAGGAAUUGAACGG